rnacentral:rRNA from 1 species
UACGGAGGAUGCAAGCGUUAUCCGGAUUUAUUGGGUUUAAAGGGUGCGCAGGUGGUUUAAUAAGUCAGUGGUGAAAGUCUGCCGCUUAACGGUAGGAUUGCCAUUGAUACUGUUGGACUUGAAUAUGGAUGAGGUAGGCGGAAUGUGUAGCGUAGCGGUGAAAUGCUUAGAUAUUACACAGAACACCGAUUGCGAAGGCAGCUUACUAAUCCAUGAUUGACGCUGAGGCACGAAAGCGUAGGGAUCAAACAGGAUUA